rnacentral:tRNA from 1 species
UCCCUGAUGGUCCAGUGGUUAGGAUCUGGCACUUUCGCUGCUUGGGCCUGGGUUCAACCCCUGGCCAGGAAA